UACGUAGGGGGCUAGCGUUGUUCGGAAUUACUGGGCGUAAAGCGCACGUAGGCGGCUCGAUCAGUCAGGGGUGAAAUCCCAGGGCUCAACCCUGGAACUGCCUUUGAUACUGUCGAUCUGGAGUAUGGAAGAGGUGAGUGGAAUUCCGAGUGUAGAGGUGAAAUUCGUAGAUAUUCGGAGGAACACCAGUGGCGAAGGCGGCUCACUGGUCCAUUACUGACGCUGAGGUGCGAAAGCGUGGGGAGCAAACAGG
rnacentral:rRNA from 1 species